CUGAGUUCCUUGUAAAAACGUACCUGAAAGAUGAAGAUAGCGGUGAAAAACUCAAAUAUUGCUGGUCUGCAAACUCUCCAGCCCUCAAGCAAAUAACUAUCUGUACAGAAACAAAGUAAGGAAAAUGCAACUCAAAGAUGAGGCUUUAGAGCCUGCCAGAAUUUAUGGAGGGAAACAACAUGGUUACAGCCAGGACCUCAGAAAUCAGGUUCAGAUACUCUCAGAGCAUGUCUCCUCCUCACCCUCCAUCACAAGGCAGACCAGCGGCUGGUCCCUCUCCCUAAGCGUACAUCUGCUCCUGCAUCCAUACAUCCACAGAGGAUCUUGUACAGCGCCAGCACACCCUGGAGGAGCAUAACUGAACUGACAUAAAUUAUAUGCAGAGGAACUGGGAGUUUAAUGAAUAGAAGACUCGUGGAAUUCA